GAAAGCGAUCGACAUGAUACUUUAAGGAAAGAACCUGGUGGGCUGCCAAUGUUCCAGGAGAUAUAUAAAGGCUCAAACUAGUAGGUGCAUUCUGCCAGCAAAAUUAAAUCUCAAGUCCCCUCCCAUGUUGUGAAAGAUAUGUGCAAUUAUAGGACAGACUAUGAUUCACUGUAAAACUGCUGAUGCUUUCCUAUCCUUUUUUCCAAGAGACAAUGUUCUGCAAAUAUUUUGUUCUCAACUGUAGCAGCAGCUAAGCAUUCUCAUAUUUUAGAUGUUGGAAAUAAACUGAAUAGAUAAACGGAACAUAAUUCAAGUCCACUUGAGCUGGCUGUCUUUCAUUGUAUUGCUAUUGUAUCACCUUAGGUGCAAUGUUAGAUUGGAACCAACUUUGCGUCACUUGAAUACACUGUUGUGAAUAAAUCACCAUUCUCUGUAGAGAAACUGAAAUUUUUUUCUAUAAGGAAAACACCAUUCUUUAAAAAAAAUGAUGCUAAUGGUGUAGAGCUACUAGGGCAUAAAAGGUUAUUUCCUUUCUUUCAUGUUCAUCACUUGUACGACUGCCUUGGGUUUUGUACACAGGAAAAUCACACAUCUUCCAUUUGAGACUGACGAACGGCAUGAUAGUAUGAAGUAGCUAUUGUUGCAUCUUCACCAAGUACUAAUCUAAAUAUACUAGAUGUGAGAUUGUAGGAGUUAAGCCUACUGCAUUUUGUUUGAAUCAGCUCUCAAUUUUACUAGUCUUAUUUGUGCAGCUGAAACUCCGCCCAGAUUCUAGCCAAUUCCUAUAUAUCAGUACGCAUAUGGAUAGAGUAGACUAUUUGUGCGUGGAUAACCAUCACUUCAGUUGCUAGCUACAGUUUGUGUUCUUAACAGUAUAGUAGCUGACAUUUCGUAUCAUUCCGAUUUCAAAUACCCAUUUUUAGUAGCUGGCAUGGAUCAGCAAAAAACAUACUGAUUGGUAAAACUCCUCACACUCCAUAUGUUGCUCCCAGUGGCUGUCGACCACUGCCUUCAUUUGAAUUCUUGUGUCAAUUUGAACUAUAGUACUCAGCAUAAAUUAUAGUAUAUGGAAUGUGUAUACAAGUGAUGCCCACAUCAGAUGUGUAAUACAUAAUCGGUUUGUAGGUACAGCAGUAAACGAUGGGAUAUUAUUAUUGAGUAUUGUCCUUUGUUAUGUGAUUUGUUUGUACAGUGCAUUCAAAACCAUUUAGUUCCACCUUUUUUUUCUGAAUAAAUCGAAUUGUUUCCUUUGCAGAUACUGUGAGGAUCAGAAAGGACAUUUACAUUGCAUCAUACCGCGAGAAGUUGUGCCAACCUGAGGAGGCUUUAGGAUGCUGCUAAGCAGGUGGAUGGCGAAGCAUGCAGUGUCAUAUCUAUGUGUCCAUGCAUUUCUGCAUGAUCUCGCUUUUAUAUGAUUUCUGAAGCUCAAAGCCUAUGAUUCGCUACUAGCUUUGCUUUGGUGAUGGACCUCCAGCACAUUCAUGGAUAGGGUGCCACCAAGUAGCAGAUGACAAGCUGGUAAAAUCAACAGCAGGAUCGGCAGCAGCGGCACAUGCCUCUGAAUGAUUUUUCUGUAGAAGGCAUGGCGCUCUGCCAGGGCUCUUGUUGCUUUAGCUGCUUCAGCCAGAUGCAACCGGGCAGUAGUCGGUAAAUGUGAUGGCAUGGUGGUCAUUGAUAUUAUGAUGAAUGUAGGUUUCUCUGCUGGAGCUGCUAUGUCAGCGUUUGAUGAUUUGCUUCCAACUGCUACAGAUUUUGUUGAGAUUGUUUCUGAACAUUGUCCAGUUGAGGUCAUAAUAAGGUUGUUCAUUCACAUCU